GCAAAAGGGCCCACAAGGGGCAGGCAGGCGGGCUCCUGCGAGCUAGAGGUGGGGUUUGGGGUUUUUUUUGACCACCGCGCCCCCUCCCUUCUGUAUACCGUGACGUCCCAUUUCACUGAACGCUGAGAUUCACCUCCCCGAGAUGGGAUCCUGGGCGCAAUUUCCCCAGGAAUACAAGUAUACAGUCAGCAUAAGAAAAUAACAGUAAUA